rnacentral:rRNA from 1 species
UUUAAAGAAAGCGUAAUAGCUCACUGGUCGAGUCGGCCUGCGCGGAAGAUGUAACGGGGCUAAACCAUGCACCGAAGCUGCGGCAGCGAACGUAUCACCCAAGACAACUUUACGGAGUUGACGAUUGACGGAGCGAAGCGACGUCAAAGCGUUCAUUAAAGUCGAGUUGGCUUAGGGAUACGUUCGUUGGGUAGGGGAGCGUUCUGUAAGCCUGUGAAGGUGUGUCGUGAGGCAUGCUGGAGGUAUCAGAAGUGCGAAUGCUGACAUAAGUAACGAUAAAGCGGGUGAAAAGCCCGCUCGCCGGAAGACCAAGGGUUCCUGUCCAACGUUAAUCGGGGCAGGGUGAGUCGACCCCUAAGGCGAGGCCGAAAGGCGUAGUCGAUGGGAAACGGGUUAAUAUUCCCGUACUUGGUGUUACUGCGAAGGGGGGACGGAGAAGGCUAUGUUGGCCGGGCGACGGUUGUCCCGGUUUAAGCGUGUAGGUGUGUGUUCCAGGUAAAUCCGGUUCACUUUAACACUGAGGCGUGACGACGAGGCACUACGGUGCUGAAGCAACAAAUGCCCUGCUUCCAGGAAAAGCCUCUAAGCAUCAGGUAACACGAAAUCGUACCCCAAACCGACACAGGUGGUCAGGUAGAGAAUACCAAGGCGCUUGAGAGAACUCGGGUGAAGGAACUAGGCAAAAUGGUGCCGUAACUUCGGGAGAAGGCACGCUGACACGUAGGUGAAGUGAUUUACUCAUGGAGCUGAAGUCAGUCGAAGAUACCAGCUGGCUGCAACUGUUUAUUAAAAACACAGCACUGUGCAAACACGAAAGUGGACGUAUACGGUGUGACGCCUGCCCGGUGCCGGAAGGUUAAUUGAUGGGGUCAGCGCAAGCGAAGCUCCUGAUCGAAGCCCCGGUAAACGGCGGCCGUAACUAUAACGGUCCUAAGGUAGCGAAAUUCCUUGUCGGGUAAGUUCCGACCUGCACGAAUGGCGUAAUGAUGGCCAGGCUGUCUCCACCCGAGACUCAGUGAAAUUGAACUCGCUGUGAAGAUGCAGUGUACCCGCGGCAAGACGGAAAGACCCCGUGAACCUUUACUAUAGCUUGACACUGAACAUUGAGCCUUGAUGUGUAGGAUAGGUGGGAGGCUUUGAAGUGUGGACGCCAGUCUGCAUGGAGCCGACCUUGAAAUACCACCCUUUAAUGUUUGAUGUUCUAACGUGGACCCGUAAUCCGGGUUGCGGACAGUGUCUGGUGGGUAGUUUGACUGGGGCGGUCUCCUCCUAAAGAGUAACGGAGGAGCACGAAGGUUGGCUAAUCCUGGUCGGACAUCAGGAGGUUAGUGCAAUGGCAUAAGCCAGCUUGACUGCGAGCGUGACGGCGCGAGCAGGUGCGAAAGCAGGUCAUAGUGAUCCGGUGGUUCUGAAUGGAAGGGCCAUCGCUCAACGGAUAAAAGGUACUCCGGGGAUAACAGGCUGAUACCGCCCAAGAGUUCAUAUCGACGGCGGUGUUUGGCACCUCGAUGUCGGCUCAUCACAUCCUGGGGCUGAAGUAGGUCCCAAGGGUAUGGCUGUUCGCCAUUUAAAGUGGUACGCGAGCUGGGUUUAGAACGUCGUGAGACAGUUCGGUCCCUAUCUGCCGUGGGCGCUGGAGAACUGAGGGGGGCUGCUCCUAGUACGAGAGGACCGGAGUGGACGCAUCACUGGUGUUCGGGUUGUCAUGCCAAUGGCACUGCCCGGUAGCUAAAUGCGGAAGAGAUAAGUGCUGAAAGCAUCUAAGCACGAAACUUGCCCCGAGAUGAGUUCUCCCUGAGACUUAGAGUCUCCUGAAGGAACGUUGAAGACGACGACGUUGAUAGGCCGGGUGUGUAAGCGCAGCGAUGCGUUGAGCUAACCGGUACUAAUGAACCGUGAGGCUUAACCUU